GGGCUCACUCUUCCUUCGCUAAGAAGAGAUGAGAUCUGAUGUGCAGUUUGUCUGCAAUCAGCCAGGCAGAUCAACCAAUCCAUCCUGUCACUUGCAGCGUGUCUCUGCUGCCUUCAGCUUUUAUUUUACAGAACGUACAUCUGCAAAAGAACUCGUGCAGGCGACGCACCCUGUGAGGAAAGCCCCACAUCCAUUACACACCGGUGAGAAACAGGACGUAUUUCUGGUGUGACAGAACUAACGCCAGUGACACCAGUGAACACAUGACCCGUCCCUACCGCCUUGUCCUACCGCGCACCUAUUUCUGUGCCCCGCCGCAUCACGUCGCCGUUGGGCAGCACGAUCCCACCUCACCGACCCGCCCCGCCGCCCCCCCGCAGCGCCGCGGUAACCCGGCAGGACGUCACUGCGCAUGCCCGGCCGCGCUGCCGCCCGCCAGCAGAGGGGGUGAGGGAGCCGCGGCGCCGCGCGCGGGCUGUGGGGGCUGGUCAGUGGAGUCGGGCGGGUUACCGCGCCGCGCUCUUGCUUAGGCCGCAGCAUCCCACUGACACCCUGCAGAUUCCUUUGCUGCCUGGGAUUCCUCAUCCCUUACUGACUUGACACUUCCCUUGCUGUUUC
rnacentral:lncRNA from 1 species